rnacentral:rRNA from 1 species
GCAAGUCGAGCGCCUUUCUUCGGAAAGGAGCGGCGAACGGGUGAGUAACACGUAGGUUAUCUGCCUCUAGGUGAGGGACAACCGAGGGAAACUUCGGCUAAUACCACAUAUGGACUUCGGUUCAAAGGCUUCGGCCGCCUGGAGAUGAGCCUGCGUCCCAUUAUUUAGUCCUUGUUGGUGGGGUAAUGGCCUACCAUGGCGACGAUCUUUAGCUGGUUUGAGAGGAUGAUC